rnacentral:lncRNA from 1 species
AUAUUUUUUCUAACAUCUAGUGUUUCGAUGUGUUUCUAGGCUCAGAUGUGUAGAUGGAAGCAAUAGAAAGAAGGAGGAGGACGAAGAAGAAAUGAGAAAUGGAGGCAGAAUAGGAGCCAAGGUGUAAUAUUUAGACGUGUAGAUUGAAGCAAUAGAAAGGAGGAGGAUGAGAUACGAAGGAGGAGGACGAAGAAGAAACGAGAAAUGGAGGCGGAAUAGGAGGAGCCAAGGUGUGAUAUUUAGACAUUGACAAGUACGUGGAGUCGCCCGGAUCCUCUCCUUGAAGGACCAUCCCCUCAGCGGUGUUUGGUCUGCCCAACAGCAGCAACGGUCAGAAGACCGUCAUUGAGGUGUCAAGUCCCCAAGCUGGCAUAGUGCAUUUCCAGACCUCGACCUUGGACUCGGUUACUCUUUGCAAAGAUUGCAAGAAAUGAAAAUUAGAGCCUCAAACUGUUGUGAUGAGAGCACCUCUCCUCAAUGGCAGGGAAGCAACAGUAGGCAACCCAGUCCUUGUUUUGCCACGGGAUGGUCAUGAUAUAUCCGACAUCCAGGAGGGAGAGCAGCUUUCCAACGUGAGCCACUGCAUUUUCACCACUGCCCCGUUUUCCUUUAUGUCAUGCCGGCACAGCACUCUAAAGACAUGAUUUCCAUCAUUGUGGCAGUGAAAUAGUGUGCUGCUUGCAACCAGUAACAGUGAUAGGUUGAAACAUUAGGAAAGAAAAGCAAAGGAAGUUACAGCCCCUGCUUAGACUAUCAUUGGUCAUCCUACUCCAACCUAACCUAACAGAGAUGACCGUUGACUUCUGGUUAGGAGUGACAAGGCAGAACAAAACCUCUCCCUGGAUGUGGCUGGACGGUUCACCCAUUGACCUCAGCCUCCCCUACUGGACUGUCAGGUGUCCAUUUUGUCACCAGCCACGAGUCCUGCCAACACGCUGACCGCUCCACUUCCACCUGCUCAGUGUAUGGAUGUCAAUAGAGUGGAAGGCAGGGACAUAAUGGGACGGGUAAUGUACUGGAAAGCUUUAUAAUAAUGUAUUGAAGGAGUGAUGUGACGUAUGGGUGACUAAAUGGUGAAUGAUAUAGUUAAUUAAUCCUACGAUUGUAUCAUUAGUGAUGGGACAAUGACGGAAGUGAUGGGGAUGGACAGAUUGUACUAGGAAAGGUGCACACGUAUCAUGCAUGAUAUAGUAUACAUGAGUGAAAUCAUCUUACCCUCUGAAGAUGAGGAUGACAUAGGGGAACCACGCGGAGCACGAGCACACUGGCCUAUGAGACAUUACAUAGAGGAAUGCUAAGUAGGAAAUGAACAGUACACAUACCCCCGAGUUAAGUAAAGAACCUAGUUAAUGCCCAUAAAGUCUUUUGCAGCCUGGGUGGAGAUGCGGAGCUGAAACACUGUAGCUGUAGCAGAGAUCACCACAGUCCCAGGGAACCUGGGAAUUGGAAGUUCACCCCACAUGCUGAGGACUAUCACCCUGCUCAGCUUGCCAGGACUGGUGGGAGUGGAACUCGCAUGUUUCGAACAGGAGGACGGGUCUCGUCUGACCUGCAGUCUUGUCAAAGAUAGAAGUAAUUAUCGAAGAAGAUAAAAAGAAGUGAGAUGAGGUGGAAUAAAAGACAAAUGUGAAAACACAGGCCUUGUAAUGUGUCAAACACUGCUAACUUUUGUUACAUUUGAGAGCUGAAGUACAAGGAUUUUUUUUUCAAAGGGAAAGCACUUUUGUUACGUUUGAGAGCUGGAGUACAAGGAUUUAUCUUUUUCAAAAGGGAAAGCCAUGUACUGGUCAAGCCAGAGAGAGAGGAAGGCCUUAAGAUUCUUUUUUAAGGAGCCACCAUAAAAAUCCUUAUACUCGGCACUUUCGAAUAUUAAAUGUAUUCUAAUAAUGUAGAACAGAUUGGUGGGUGGGUGGUGUAAAGAAACUCAGGG